rnacentral:rRNA from 1 species
CUACGGGCUGCUGCAGUAAGGAAAUUGCGCAAUGGAGGCAACUCUGACGCAGCCAUGCCGCGUGCAGGAAGAAGGCCUUAUGGGUCGUAAACUGCUUUUAUUUAGGAAUAAACCCCCGAACGUGUUCUGGGCUGAAGGUACUAAACGAAUAAGCACCGGCUAACUCCGUGCCAGCAGCCGCGGUAAUACGGAGGGUGCAAGCGUUAUCCGGAUUUAUUGGGUUUAAAGGGUGCGCAGGCGGGCUAUUAAGUCAGUGGUGAAAUCCCGGGGCUCAACUCCGGAACUGCCAUUGAUACUGAUAGUCUUGAGUUUGGUUGAAGUGGGCGGAAUGUAGCAUGUAGCGGUGAAAUGCAUAGAUAUGCUACAGAACACCAAUCGCGAAGGCAGCUCACUAAGCCAAAACUGACGCUCAUGCACGAAAGCGUGGGGAUCAAACAGGAUUAGAUACCCCUGUAGUC